UACGAAGGGGGCUAGCGUUGCUCGGAAUUACUGGGCGUAAAGGGCGCGUAGGCGGCCACGCACGUCCGUUGUGAAAUCGCCCGGCUCAACUGGGCGGGGUCGGCGGAUACGGCGUGGCUGGAGCAAGCUAGGGGGCAAUGGAAUUCCCGGUGUAGUGGUGGAAUGCGUAGAUAUCGGGAGGAACACCAGUGGCGAAGGCGGUUGCCUGGAGCUUUGCUGACGCUGAGGCGCGAAAGCGUGGGGAGCGAGUCCGG
rnacentral:rRNA from 1 species